UCGGAUGUCGGCUAAUGGUAAGCCAACUGCCUUUGAAGCAGUGGUAUGAAGGUUCAACUCCUUCCGCCCGGG
rnacentral:tRNA from 2 species